rnacentral:lncRNA from 1 species
AUGUAUUUUAUGGUUUUGAAUGUAUGAAUCGCUGUUUACUUCAUUAUGGCUUGAUCUUGUGAAUCCGAUGAUAUGCCUGCAUUGUUGGAUGCUCGUUACUGGUUUAAAUAUUCAUGAUUAUGUGAGAAACAGAAAACUAAAAAUAGAAUAGAAAAGGUAUGUGAAUCGAUAAAUGGAUAAGUCGACACCCUCACCAGAUAUCCUAGGAGAUGGUGGACGGACCGGGUCCAUAGG